rnacentral:rRNA from 1 species
CCGGGUACAAUGCGAAGCGAAGCAGCGAUGUGAAGCAAAUCGCACCAAAGCCGGUCCCAGUUCGGAUAAGAGGCUGAAACUCGCCUCUUUGAAGUCGGAAUCGCUAGUAAUCGCAGAUCAGCAUGUUGCGGUGAAUACGUUUCCUGGUCUUGUACACACCGCCCGUCAAACCAUGAGAGUCGCCAACACCCGAAGUCCGCUUUGCGGCCUAAGGUGGGGGAGAUGAUUGGGGUUAAGUCGUAACAAGGUACC